rfam:Arthrobacter arilaitensis RE117 chromosome, complete sequence.
GUCACCGCGAGGUGGGGUGGGAAGGAAGCCGGAGGCAAACCUCUGCACUGAGGAACACGAAUCACAUGUGAGGCAUGUCUGUCGGGGUAAGCCAGCGCAAGAUGGUGAAGCCCGCUCCAUCGAAACGGAAAUUUUCAAGUCAAGUGAGACCAAUGAGUGUUAACCAGC